UGGCUCGGACUCUCUGAGAGUCACGAGCUUUUGUUAUCAUUCUUCUCCUGUCCUUUCUAGCCUUCUGAUAGAUCCUUUUCUCCCUAUUCCUUUUAGUAUAGUUUUAGUAUAGCAUUUUAAUAUAACAUAUAAUAAAUCAGCAUUCUGAAACAUGGAGUCAAGAUUCACAUCUCUUCCCUCAUCCUGGCACCCUCAAACAUCACCAUACUUGAUCAAAGUUACAAUCAUUUUUUCUGGUUCAGAAAUUGCUCGACUGUAAUAUGCAUGCCCUUUUCUCUAAUAGGGCAAAGAUAUACACAAAGCUCUGUUCCUGAGGAAGAGCAGGCAAUGCUGAAUAGGAGCACCUUAUGAUCAAAGGAAACUUUUUGAUGACACAAACUGGUGUUUUUGAUAUGUCUGUGUUUUAUAACUGAGUAUACGUUGUCCUUACUUACAUGAAACUAAAGAUUUUGUACUUUCUUAGAGUGGAAAAGCAAAAUACAUUCAUAGAACUGUAACAUAAGUAAAAAUAAAUUAAAAACCCAGCGAUUUCAGCCGCGGCCACGAGAUGGCGCUGCGAGCCCUCGCACGGCGCCUCGGCCCGGCCAGGGCCCGGGCUCUGCGAGCGCCUCCCGCGCCACGCCGAAAGGCAGGCGCCGAGGAGAGGAAACACGAGCGUCCUUUCCUUCGGCGGGAUGAGUACAUUUGGCCGCUGCUGAGCUGAGGCGCUGUACGGGCCGUGCCCAGGCACUCGCUGGAGGAGAGGGGCACGACCCCGCCGCUUUGGGCCCGGGACCCCCGGCGCGGCGGGGCAGGAGCCGCAGCGCAGCUCCCGACACGGAGCACCAAAGGGAAAGCGCUCCUCCAGAGUGCUUCCCACGCCGUGUGGCGGCUGCCGGGAAAACAGAACCCUGUCGGCUUUGCCCCACAGGUACCGCUCGAACCGUGCCCACACCCCAGUGCAGGAACCCGCGUCAGGCGGGCACUGCGGGAGAGCCUGGGCCCGGCUGCGGCGGGACCGAGUCCUCGUCAGCCUCCUGCCCGGCCUGGGGAGCCACAAACUUCCCACCGCCUUCGAGCGAGAGCUCUGCCAACCCGCGGAGAUACAUCCCCAGCGACACCAGCUUGGUAGCCAUCGAUGAGGACGGGGGUGCCGAACUCAGGGUCUAAAGCUGAGUGCCCGUAUCGGGAAAUUUAACCUUCAAGCACCUCUUCCUCACCUCGUGCGCUUGGAUUGAUUCUGCCUUUUGUCCGCCGUGUCUGUCGCAGAGCACAGACACCAUUCAGGGCAGAGCCUGGCUGCUGUUAUUGUGUCUGCACAGUACUACACAACACCGGGCACACUUGCUGCUCUCACAUUGUUAAAAUAUUCAGUAAUACAGAUAUGUACAUAUAUAUAUAUAUAAUUCAGUAAUAUCAAUGGACAAAGCUAAAUUGUAAUACUUAGAUCUGUGCAUUUGCCUUAAGGGUGGCUGUUGAUUAAUUGUGUUCCUUGAAAAUGAAACUUAUGGAGCACAAAUUUAGUAAUUUUAUUUGACAGGUCUUUUUAAAAAGGACUGUGUGUACAGUUUACCCAUCCUUUGGAAAUGUGAUUCUUUUGGGUGCCCUGGAGCAAUGAAGGGAGCAGGACUCCUAGUUUCAGGGUUCCACGACAAAGCCAGUUGCCACCUGCUUUCACCACAAGCAACCUUCAGCCUUGUUUGCAGCAGCAGCAGCAAGAGCUAUCCUGCCCCCUGACAAAUCAUUCCCCUGUGUGCCACCUGGCUCAUUCUUAACACUAGGCUAUGUCUGCAAGGGGAGAAAGUGGAGUGGGGUUCACAUCACCCACCCACUGGUACCCUCAACUAAAACGUUUGCUGGGACUGCUGCCCUGGAAGAAAAUUGUGUAAUGUUGCACCUACUGCUGGGAAGGGUCUCCCCUCUCUGGAGCAAAGGACUACAUGAACUGGAAGCAUUUCAUUGCAUGCAUCUGUACCACUGUUGGAGCAUGUUUGUUGCAUGCCAGCAGUGGAAGUCUUAACCAAACCUGAAAGAAGUUUAACCAUCAGCCUAGUCACCUAGUGAGAAACUUCAUCUGCUGUUAAUAUUAUUUCAGGCUUCAAUAGUGAAGAUCGAGCCUUUGUGUUACAACUAAAAUUUUAUUUACUCAAUCACUAGUUUUCUUAGAGUUAAUGUAAAAAUCACUGUUUCAGUAAAGAAGACUUUUCUGGGUUUCUACUUUACUAAUCUUCAGCAGCACUUCAGUAUCUGACAGGGGGAGUGUUUGAUGUUAAUUAUAUUUUGAUGAGUGCAUAAUCAUGUAAAAAUUUGCUUUUAUGCACAGUCUUCUAUGUGAGUUUAUGUUUUUGAAAUAUGAACCUAAGCAAGGAAGAAAAUAAACCUUUACAGUCUUCAGAGUUAUGAUCUGAUUGUCAUAGAACAAAGUACCUUGUCAUUUCCCGCUACAUGGCUUUUCCAUAUAACUCUACCUUUGCAGCAUUUACUUUGUUAUACCUGAUUGAGUAUAUUACUACAAAGUGUUAUUUAUCCAGCCCAACAUUUGUUCCAAGAAGAAAUGGUAAAUAUUAUGGGCUAAACAUAGCUUUCAGAAAUGUAAGCCUGAACUCAAACAUUUGUGACAUCAAUGGCCUCUGAAGCAAAGCAGAAAUGGAUUCUGGAUCCAGCAAGAGGAGUAAAGUUGGGCUUCUAUCCAUAGAGUUUCUAUCCUUACUAAGCUGCCACUUAAAAUGUCCAGAUCUGGAGGGAGGAAAUGUAAUGAACUGAAUUUGCUUCCUCAGCUGGAAUAGUUUUGGCACAUAUAUCUGAAGACCUGUUUAGCUGUGAGGGAGCUAACCAAUGGCUGAGAUUAUGCACAUCUGUCAGUUAAACCAAAGAUCCCAAGGCUAAAUGCAACAUUCAGGGGCAACACGUAGGCCAAUGAAUUUUAUGGAAGACAGUGUCUAGAGACCGAUGAGCAGCUCUCUUGCAUCCACAUACUAUAAAACUGUACGUAAUUGUUCUCAUUUUAGUAACAGCUUUCAGAAAAUUACUGUUAGGAAUACAGAAGAAACAUUUUAUACCAGUGACCUUAAAAUUGUAGUACAGAGAUCUAAUUUUGUUUUCCAGUCAUUUAUGCCAUGAAAGUAAAGAGUAUCUAUUUUAAGAUAAAAGAAUGCAAUAUAUAGGAAAAAGAUGCUUUUCCUUAUAAAAAAAAUUAAUUUAUUUUCAAAACCCAUGGGUGUGCUGUUCUUUUUUAAAUACAAUGCAGGUCUUAAUGCUUACUUUUAUAAUUUUGUUACUCUGUGUAUUUUGUGACUUCAAAUGCUUUAAGAGGAUAACAUGAGCUGUCUACACAUCUCUGUAUGUGUCAUUCAGCCAGUAUGUGCAUAAUUUUUUUCUAUCUACAUGGUUUUAUUCUCAAAAUUGUAAAAUAUUACAGAGAAAUUAUAAGCCUGCAAGUAAUUUACAGCCAUCUCAUUUCUGGCUUAUACAUUCCUAAACAAUUCUUUCUGGCACAGAUGGUAACAUCAUAACUUCAGAUCUCAUUGCCAUCCAUUGCUGUGGCUGUUCCUGGGUGUGGGAAGAAGUGAUGAUUAGCUAAGACAAAACUUGCUGUUCACAACAUCUUGAAAUUUUGUUUUUAUUGAUGAUAAAAACGACUUCCAAAUAAAAUGAAGAUUUUAAUGGGAAA